rfam:Sphingobacterium antarcticus 4BY contig021, whole genome shotgun sequence.
UCAGGUGUCUAUAUCGGCGGUGUCCACCUCUUCCCAUUCCGAACAGAGAAGUUAAGCCCGCCAGAGCUGAUGGUACUGCGGUAACACGUGGGAGAGUAAGUCGAUGCCAGAU